rnacentral:rRNA from 1 species
UACGGAGGGGGCUAGCGUUGUCCGAAGUUACUGGGCGUAAAGCGCGCGUAGGCGGGUUGGUAAGUCCGCUGUGAAAGCCCGGAGCUUAACUCCGGAGGGUCGGUGGAUACUGCCAGUCUUGAAGGUGCUAGGGGGAGAUGGAAUUGACCGGUGUAGCGGUGAAAUGCGUAGAUAUCGGUAGGAACACCGGUGGCGAAGGCGGCCUUCUGGACAGUGACUGACGCUGAGACGCGAAAGCGUGGGGAGCAAACAGG